rnacentral:precursor_RNA from 1 species
CAUAUCUCAGGAGCUUUAACCUGCCCUUUAAUGGCUUUUACUCUUCUUUGGAUUGAAGGGAGCUCUACAUCUUCUUUCACCUUCUCUAUUUUUUAUUUUUCUUUAUUUCUACUCAACAAUUAUUUAUUCGGAUUCAUCUUUAA